AAUCUUUCGCAAUUAACGCAAGCCUGACGGAGCAACGCCGCGUGUGUGAAGAAGGGUUUCGGCUUGUAAAACUCUGUUAUUACGGAAGAACACUUGUGGGCGUAUCCCGUCUUGAGAUGACGGUACUUAACAAGUAAGCCACGGCUAACUUCGUGCCAGCAGACGCGGUAAUACGUAGGUGGCAAGCGUUAUUCGGAAUUAUUGGGCGUAAAGCGCGCGUAGGCGGUAAGAUAAGUCUGAAGUGAAAGCCCCCGGCUCAACCGGGGAGGGUCAUUGAAAACUGGUUAACUAGAGUACAGAAGAGGAGAGUGGAAUUCCAUGUGUAGCGGUGAAAUGCGCAGAUAUAGGGAGGAACACCAGUGGCGAAGGCGGCUCUCUGGGCUGAUACUGACACUGAGGUGCGAAAGCGUGGGGAUCAAAC
rnacentral:rRNA from 1 species